UCGCUGCUGGCCAGUCCCCUCAUCAUUGACCUCAUUGUCCUGGCUGAACUGUGUGAGCGGAUCCAGUUCAAAGUGGGAAACGAGACCCAGUUCCAGAAAUUUAACCCCGUCUUAUCUUUCCUGAGUUACAUGUGUAAAGCCCCUCUUGUUCCCCGCGGCACCCCUGUGGUCAACUCGUUGUUCCGACAGAGGUGUUGCAUCGAGAAUAUUCUCCGAGCCUGUAUAGGUCUUUCUCCCAUUAACCACAUGCUUCUGGAGUACAAAAUGCACAGACCGGAAACGAUCGUCAUCCCAAAGACCCGUGUGUCCAAGAAAGACAAAGACAUUCCUAAAGAGAGUGAGAGUGAUGAUACAGACUGUGAAAAAUAAUAAUGAAAUGUUAAGAGUAUACAUACAUGUAUUUACUUGCUGUUAACUUAAUUAAGCCUGGAAAGUUCUGAUUUUUUAAGGACUGCAGACUGACCGCCAGUAAUCAAAUAUGCAUAUUUGUUUUGAGUCUAGACUAUUGUUGGACUAUAUUUAUCACUGCAUUAAAAUAAACAUCGUAUUAUAUUACCAAUA
rnacentral:misc_RNA from 1 species